AGACUUUCAGAACUCGGGAGGUGCCUGCCCCCCUCCUUUGGGUCUCAGGGAGAGCACAGGUGUGAGUGCCAAUGCACAGAAGCUUCGUGUCCUUCCCUGUGACAAAUCCAUUUCAGCCAAGAAACCCCAGGAGUCAGAGCAGUCUGGGCUCUGUGGGAGAGCGGGCAAGGGGGCACUCU